CUACAUGUUCCGUUUCUGUCUGGGACAGAAGUCUGGCCUGGGGCUUAAGGGAUGAUGGGAGGAGAGAGAGAGUGGGAUUUGUGGCCUUCCUCUCUCAGCAUGAGGAGUGGAAAGAACAAAGGGCUUUGAACCAGACAGAUCAUAGCUUGAAUCAUAGUUGUGCAUUAUUAGCACCCAAAUGUUGAGCUGGUGACUUCACCUCUCCGAGCCUCCAUUUCCAAGGGCGUAAAAGGGUCAAUAAUACUUGCUUUCUUCUAUGGUGGUGAGGAUAAAAGAUGUUAAGUUUGUGAGAUGAGAAUGCGGUGACUGUAGGUCAAUCGUGGUACAUGGUUAUUUUCCUUUAGGAUGAGCUCCGGGUUCUUUCCUACACGGAUGCACGCUCCACCUCCGAUUCAAAGUGUUGCUAAUUGCUAUUGUGGGUUGGGUUUAGGACUUUCUAUUGGGCUUUAUGCAGAAAUUAGCCCACACAUGGCUGUGAUCCUCCUUGAUUUCAUUUUUCAGGAAUUGUAACAAGGGUCUGAAUUGAACUGCUCUAGUGGAGACCAGAUAAUAAAACUUUAUUGCGCGACUUGAAGAGGCCUUGGAUAGAGUGAUGCUCAUUGUUUUUAUAUUUGGGAGGACUCACUGUGGUACAUAUUGUGGCUGCCCCAGUAAUUUAUGGCUGUGAUACCACUGUAAUUAAAAUCUCAACAGAUUUUCUUAAGGACCUCGGAAAAUUGACUCUAAAAUGUAUAUGGUGGAGGAGAAGUGCAAGAAGACCCAAAACAAUUCUGAAUAAAUAAAACAGAAAUGUGCCGCAAAGGACCAGGAUAUAUAAAGCAUAUAUAGUUAAUUAAAAGAUCACCCAAGAAUGCUGGUGUGAGACUGGACAGGCUGAGUGAGAACACCUAACGUCAUGCAAAAACACAUCCAUCUUCUCCCCAGAAUCUCAGAGAAGAAUCCAACCUGGACAAAUGGCAAAACUUCAAGACAAGGAAGCGUGAUCGGGAAAGCAUUGAAGACCCAGCUUGCUCUUGAUGCCUGGAUAUGCUGACUCUCCCAUGUUCUCAUCCCUUCUCAGCAUCUUUUUCCCCAUGUUACGUGUCUUCUUUUCAAACCUCCCACUGCUUCUAUCAUACCUGCAUCUAGCAAGUCUCCUAGGGCUUACAGCCUUGAGGUUCUUCACAUCAGGGAAAGGAAAGCCAUGGAGGACUGGAGAUGAACAGAUGGUUGCUGGUGGCCUCUUCCUGGGUUCAUUCACUCAGUCAUUCAUUUAUCCAGUGGUUCAUUCGUUCAUUCAUUCAUUCAUCAAAUUGUUCUUAUGUGUCAGGCUUUGGGUUAAGCAAUGGGUAUGCAGCAAAGAACCAAAUAGACAUAAUUUAUUUAAUAGAACUCAUGGAAUUUACUAUCUACAUUUAUUGAGGCCUGCUGACUAUCAAUACUAAUAAAAAGCAAAACUGA